CAACUACUCCCUCCGUCCCAAAAUUCUUGUCUUAGAUUUUUCUAGAUACGGAUGUAUCUAAUACUAAAAUGUGACUUGAUACGUCUGUAUCUAAACAAAUCUAAGACAAGAAUUUUCGGACGGAGGGAGUACUUU
rfam:Triticum aestivum genome assembly, contig: Triticum_aestivum_CS42_TGACv1_scaffold_061106_1DL